rnacentral:rRNA from 1 species
GCCUGACCUCGGAUCAGUCGUGACUACCCGCUGAACUUAAGCAUAUCAAUAAGCGGAGGAGAAGAAACUAACAAGGAUUCCCCCAGUAACGGCGAGUGAAGAGGGAGAAGCCCAGCACCGAAGCCUGCGGCAGUUUUGCUGUUAGGCAAUGUGGUGUUGAGGCCGGCUCGCGGGACUGCUGCUCCAUUCUAAGUCCAGCUUUGAGUAUGGCUUCUGGACUUGGCCCAGAGAGGGUGAGAGGCCCGUCCGAAUGGAGGAUAAGAGAAGUGGGCAGUUCACUAGGCCGGCCUUCGAGUCGGGUUGUUUGAGAAUGCAGCCCAAAGUGGGUGGUAGACUCCAUCCAAGGCUAAAUACUGGCACGAGUCCGAUAGCGAACAAGUACCGUGAGGGAAAGUUGAAAAGUACUUUGAAGAGAGAGUAAACAGUACGUGAAACCGCAUAGAGGUAAACGGGUGGCGUCAAGCUGCACGCCUGGAGGAUUCAGUCGGUCAGGGUGUUGUGUGUGCGCCUGGCGCAUCUAUCAGUCGGAGUGAGACGAGGUGGUCCGCUGGGUGACGGCGGGCCCGGCCGAGAGGCCGGGAUUGGUGUUGUUCCGUGUUGUGUGCGGACCAGACCACCUCUUGUCUGGGGACUGCCUGGCCGAUGCACUUUCUCUGUUUUUGGCGAACACCACGACCGGUGGGACUGCCAGUCUGCUGUGGUGAAGUCGUCAGGUUUGGUCGGCGCCUCGUGUUGUCUUGGCUGGGCCUGACGAUCAUGGGCAGGCGGUGUGCGGGCGCACGUGUGUUUACACGCGCGUGCCUGCGGGCCAGUCUGUCAACGGGUCUGUCUGGCGACGCUUGUAGUGGUUGGUUGUCAGAUGGCAGGCCUGAUGGAACCAUGGUGGUAGGAAUAACUGUGCAGGGCACCGGUGAUGUCGGUCUCGAAUUUGGCUCGCGCGCACACACACUACAGGUGUGGUGGUGGUGGUCGUCGUUGCGGUCUGCCUGUGGCUGGGUCUGGCUGUCGUGUUGCCUGCGCAAAGUGGGUCCGGCGGUGGCCUGGUCUUGGAUGGCAUCGUUGGCGGCGUCUCCGGCGCGGGCCGAUGUGGACCUCACAGUCGGUGGUGUAGUGGUAGACGAGCUACCCGACCCGUCUUGAAACACGGACCAAGGAGUUCAACAUGUGCGCAAGUCAUUGGGCACCUACGAAACCCAAGGGCGAAAUGAACGUGAAGCCUCAGCUCGACUGAGGUGUGGUGAGAUCCUGCUGUUACUCGCAUCAGCGGCACUGUGUGCUGUGCACCAGGCAGGCUAAGAGCAGUAGGCGCAUCACCGGCCCGUCUCAGGAUGUCGCUGUUGGUUGGCUGUCGGCUUACUACUGCUGGCAGUGUGGCCAGCGUGUCUUCGGGGCGGAGCAUGAGCGCACACGUUGAGACCCGAAAGAUGGUGAACUAUGCUUGCGUAGGUUGAAGCCAGAGGAAACUCUGGUGGAGGACCGCAGCGAUUCUGACGUGCAAAUCGAUCGUCAAACGUGAGCAUAGGGGCGAAAGACUAAUCGAACCAUCUAGUAGCUGGUUCCCUCCGAAGUUUCCCUCAGGAUAGCUGGCGCCCCUUCGCAUACUCAGUUUUAUCCGGUAAAGCGAAUGAUUAGAGGUACUGGGUUCGAAACGAGCUCAACCUAUUCUCAAACUUUAAAUGGGUGAGAUGCCCGGCUCUCCUAACUUGUCUGUCUGUCUGUCUGUCUGUCUAACGGCACGGCACGGCACGGCACGGCACGGCAGCAGGAGUCGGGCGUUGAAUGUGCGGGUGCCAAGUGGGCCAUUUUUGGUAAGCAGAACUGGCGCUGUGGGAUGAACCAAACGCUCGGUUAAGGUGCCUAACGCAGACGCUCAUGAGAUACCACAAAAGGUGUUGGUCAAUAUAGACAGCAGGACGGUGGCCAUGGAAGUCGGCAUCCGCUAAGGAGUGUGUAACAACUCACCUGCCGAAUCGACCAGCCCUGAAAAUGGAUGGCGCUGGAGCGUCGGACCUAUACCGGGCCGUCACCGCAAGCUGAGCAGGUGGUCAAUCAGUCGGUCAGUCAGUCAGUCGGUCGGUCGGUCGGUCGGUUGGUCAGAGCAAUCUGAUUGAUCGAUCGGUUGGUUGGUUGGUUGGUUGGUUGAUUGAUUGGUUGGUGUGUGUGUGUGUGUGUGCGAGCGUCCUAUGGCCGAUUGAUGAUCGGUGGACGCGCAGACGUCAUUGCUCAGGCAAGGAGUGCGGUGGCGAGUAGGAGGGUCGCCGUGGUGAGCGUGGAAGCCUCGGACGUGAGUCUAGGUGGAGCCGCCACGGGUGCAGAUCUUGGUGGUAGUAGCAAAUAUUCAAGUGAGAACCUUGAAGGCCGAGGUGGAGAAGGGUUCCAUGGGAACAGCAGUUGACCAUGGGUCAGGCGGUCCUAAGCGAUCCGGUGACUCGGUACAGAGACAUGGGGUGCCUCGCACUUGUGUACUUGUGUAUGUAUGUAUGCGUGCUUGCCUGCCCGC